rnacentral:rRNA from 1 species
UACAGAGGUGGCAAGCGUUGUUCGGAAUUACUGGGCGUAAAGGGCGCGUAGGCGGCUUGGUCAGUCCCGUGUGAAAUCCCUCGGCUCAACUGAGGAACUGCACGGGAAACUGCCUGGCUUGAGUUCGGGAGAGGGAAGCGGAAUUCCGGGUGUAGCGGUGAAAUGCGUAGAUAUCCGGAGGAACACCGGUGGCGAAGGCGGCUGCCUGGACCGACACUGACGCUGAGGCGCGAAAGCUAGGGGAGCAAACGGG